UCUAUUUUGUCAGAUAAUAUGUACUAGAUUUAGGAUCUAGUUAAAUAGGAAUAAUCCUAUAAAUAGAAAAACAAUUAAAGCUAAUUGUUUU
rnacentral:tRNA from 1 species